UACGUAGGGUGCAAGUGUUGUCCGGAAUUAUUGGGCGUAAAGAGCUCGUAGGCGGUUUGUCGCGUCGAAUGUGAAAACCCGGGGCUCAACCCCGGGCCUGCAUUCGAUACGGGCAGACUAGAGUUCGGUAGGGGGAGUCUGGAAUUCCUGGUGUAGCGGUGAAAUGCGCAGAUAUCAGGAGGAACACCGGUGGCGAAGGCGGGACUCUGGGCCGAUACUGACGCUGAGGAGCGAAAGCGUGGGGAGCGAACAGG
rnacentral:rRNA from 1 species